rnacentral:rRNA from 1 species
CGAGCUACCAUGCAGUCGAGCGAACCUUCGGGUUAGCGGCGGACGGGUGAGUAACGCGUGGGAACGUACCCUCUUCUGCGGGAUAGCCACUGGAAACGGUGAGUAAUACCGCAUACGCCCUUCGGGGGAAAGAUUUAUCGGAGGAGGAUCGGCCCGCGUUGGAUUAGGUAGUUGGUGGGGUAAUGGCCUACCAAGCCUACGAUCCAUAGCUGGUUUUAGAGGAUGAUCAGCCACACUGGGACUGAGACACGGCCCAGACUCCUACGGGAGGCAGCAGUGGGGAAUCUUAGACAAUGGGCGCAAGCCUGAUCUAGCCAUGCCGCGUGAGUGACGAAGGCCUUAGGGUCGUAAAGCUCUUUCGCCAGAGAUGAUAAUGACAGUAUCUGGUAAAGAAACCCCGGCUAACUCCGUGCCAGCAGCCGCGGUAAUACGGAGGGGGUUAGCGUUGUUCGGAAUUACUGGGCGUAAAGCGCACGUAGGCGGAUUGGAAAGUUGGGGGUGAAAUCCCAGGGCUCAACCCUGGAACUGCCUCCAAAACUCCCAGUCUGGAGUUCGAGAGAGGUGAGUGGAAUUCCGAGUGUAGAGGUGAAAUUCGUAGAUAUUCGGAGGAACACCAGUGGCGAAGGCGGCUCACUGGCUCGAUACUGACGCUGAGGUGCG